rnacentral:rRNA from 1 species
GAUGAACGCUGGCGGCGUGCCUAAUACGUGCAAGUCGAGCGAACGGACGAGAAGCUUGCUUCUCUGAUGUUAGCGGCGGACGGGUGAGUAACACGUGGAUAACCUACCUAUAAGACUGGGAUAACUUCGGGAAACCGGAGCUAAUACCGGAUAAUAUUUUGAACCGCAUGGUUCAAAAGUGAAAGACGGUCUUGCUGUCACUUAUAGAUGGAUCCGCGCUGCAUUAGCUAGUUGGUAAGGUAACGGCUUACCAAGGCAACGAUGCAUAGCCGACCUGAGAGGGUGAUCGGCCACACUGGAACUGAGAGACUGUCCAGACUCCUACGGGAGGCAGCAGGAGGGAAGCUUCCGCAAUUGGCGAAAGCCUGACGGAGCAACGCCGCGUGAGUGAUGAAGGUCUUCGGAUCUUAAAACUCUGUUAUUAGGGAAGAACAUAUGUGUAAGUAACUGUGCACAUCGUGACGGUACCUAAUCAGAAAGCCACGGCUAACUACGUG